UUGUCUCAUCUUCUUAACUCUAUUUUUCUGCUUCUGCAAGUGUGUGCUUAAUUGAAAUCUACAUUGCAAUAGAUGCAUUUGUAUUGUACCUCAUACACUAGAAGAGAGGCUUAUUAUAAGUGUGUUGUUCUAGGCUUAUAUCUUUAUGCUAGGUUAUGAAAGGUUCGGGUGAUGUUACAAUAAUAAGUUCUAGUGUUGCUUUAAGGAAACUUUUGAGUAUCCUUUAAGUGUCAAGAUCCUUGGACAAGGAAUGUCGGUGAUUGGGGUUGAGUAGAUGGUUUAAACAAUUUAUGAGUUCUCCAUGUUCAGAA
rnacentral:misc_RNA from 1 species